CUGGGAACUGCGUUNUGAACUGGGUGACUAGAGUGUGUCAGAGGGAGGUAGAAUUCCACGUGUAGCAGUGAAAUGCGUAGAGAUGUGGAGGAAUACCGAUGGCGAAGGCAGCCUCCUGGGAUAACACUGACGUUCAUGCCCGAAAGCGUGGGUAGCAAACAGGAUUAGAUACCCUGGUAGUCCACGCCCUAAACGAUGUCGAUUAGCUGUUGGGCAGCAUGACUGCUUAGUAGCGAAGCUAACGCGUGAAAUCGACCGCCUGGGGAGUACGGUCGCAAGAUUAAAACUCAAAGGAAUUGACGGGGACCCGCACAAGCGGUGGAUGAUGUGGAUUAAUUCGAUGCAACGCGAAGAACCUUACCUGGUCUUGACAUGUACGGAACCCUCCAGAGACGGAGGGGUGCCUUCGGGAGCCGUAACACAGGUGCUGCAUGGCUGUCGUCAGCUCGUGUCGUGAGAUGUUGGGUUAAGUCCCGCAACGAGCGCAACCCUUGUCAUUAGUUGCCAUCAUUAAGUUGGGCACUCUAAUGAGACUGCCGGUGACAAGCCGGAGGAAGGUGGGGAUGACGUCAAGUCCUCAUGGCCCUUAUGACCAGGGCUUCACACGUCAUACAAUGGUCGGUACAGAGGGUAGCCAAGCCGCGAGGCGGAGCCAAUCUCACAAAACCGAUCGUAGUCCGGAUUGCACUCUGCAACUCGAGUGCAUGAAGUCGGAAUCGCUAGUAAUCGCAGGUCAGCAUACUGCGGUGAAUACGUUCCCGGGUCUUGUACACACCGCCCGUCACACCAUGGGAGUGGGGGAUACCAGAAGUNGGUAGGGUAACCGCAAGGAGCCC
rnacentral:rRNA from 1 species